CCUUGAAAUACCACCCUUUAAUGUUUGAUGUUCUAACGUUGACCCGUGAUCCGGGUUGCGGACAGUGUCUGGUGGGUAGUUUGACUGGGGCGGUCUCCUCCUAAAGAGUAACGGAGGAGCACGAAGGUUGGCUAAUCCUGGUCGGACAUCAGGAGGUUAGUGCAAUGGCAUAAGCCAGCUUGACUGCGAGCGUGACGGCGCGAGCAGGUGCGAAAGCAGGUCAUAGUGAUCCGGUGGUUCUGAAUGGAAGGGCCAUCGCUCAACGGAUAAAAGGUACUCCGGGGAUAACAGGCUGAUACCGCCCAAGAGUUCAUAUCGACGGCGGUGUUUGGCACCUCGAUGUCGGCUCAUCACAUCCUGGGGCUGAAGUAGGUCCCAAGGGUAUGGCUGUUCGCCAUUUAAAGUGGUACGCGAGCUGGGUUUAGAACGUCGUGAGACAGUUCGGUCCCUAUCUGCCGUGGGCGCUGGAGAACUGAGGGGGGCUGCUCCUAGUACGAGAGGACCGGAGUG
rnacentral:rRNA from 1 species